rnacentral:lncRNA from 1 species
ACUCAGCCCUAACCGGAGUGUCACAAGUCAUGAGCUACUACAGAGUUUACUAAAAUUCUACAAAGUAUGGAAUUAGGAACAAAGUCUGAAGAUAUCAUAAAUAGCAGAAGAUAAGGGAGAAAACGGGUCUGCGAACGCCAUACAACUACCUCGAUAACUCCGAUGAAAACUGAAAACAGAAAACUCGCUCUAUGCCUUAGGAAUACCUGUACCUGCACACAUGAUGCAGGGAGUAAUGUGAGUACUCCGACCCAGUGAGUAAUACUUAUAAAUAAUGACUGAAGGUAAGAAAAUACGUUAAGGCACACAACAUUAUAUACAGAAGCAGUGAAAUCAUUUAAAAUAACAAUUCAGUAAAACAUCAUGUGAAAUUUCUUUUAAACCAGUAAAACAGGUAAUUUGGCAGUAAAAUGACGAGUAGAAAUCGACGCCUCGGGCUCAAUAUCAAAACAACAAGUAGAAAUCUGCCCCUCAGACUCAGUAUCAAAAUAACAAGUAGAAAUCUGCCCCUCGGGCUCAGUAUCAAAAUAAUAAUUAGAAAUCUGCCCCUCGGGUUUAGUAUCAAAAUAAUAAGUAGAAAUCUGCCCCUCGGGCUCAGUAUCAAAAUAAUAAUUAGAAAUCUGCCCCUCGGGCUCAGUAUCAAAAUAAUAAGUAGAAAUCUACCCAUCGGGCUCAGUAUCUCAGAACAGUAUCAGCCCCCCAAGCUCAGAACAGUAUGAAGCAACCAGUCAAUGAAAUAAGAGCACAUAAUUAUUAUGGCAGAUAAUGCAGAUAAGGAAUAAAUGCAUGAGUGCAAUGCAAUGCAUAUGACGGUACCCUCUGGUACCCACUGCGGCGUGCAGCCCGAGUCAUCCAUAUUUAUUUAUCGCCGACGGCGCUCACUGGGGGUGUGUACAGACUCCGGAA